GGAUUUCACUUGGCUUUGCAAUACUAGAAGCUAUUAUAUUUUCUUGCUAUUCUCUUCCUUAUUCAAUUUAUGUAGCCAGUUACAGGGUUAAGCAUGUGAUGGUGACUGCUUUACUUUUGGUUUAUGGUGCAAUGACUAUGACAUGGAUCUGUGAUACUAUAUCAGAAUCCGGAUUUGGUCAAGGUUCGUCUCUAAUUAUAUGUGUUGGAAUAUUAACUGGAUACACAGAUACGCUG